UACAGAGGGUGCAAGCGUUGUUCGGAAUUAUUGGGCGUAAAGCGCGUGUAGGCGGCUCAGCAAGUCGGGUGUGAAAGCCCUCGCUUAACCGAGGAAGUGCGCCUGAAACUACUGAGCUUGAGUACCGGAGAGGGCGGUGGAAUUCCCGGUGUAGAGGUGAAAUUCGUAGAUAUCGGGAGGAACACCGGUGGCGAAGGCGGCGACCUGGGUAGAUACUGACGCUGAGGUGCGAAAGCGUGGGGAGCAAACAGG
rnacentral:rRNA from 1 species